UGCUCUAUGAAUUUUAAAUGGCUGCAGUAUUUUAACUGUACAAAGGUAGCAUAAUAAAUUGGUUUUUAAUUAAAAUCUUGUAUGAAGGAGGUGAUGAAAUAUAAACUUUAUUAUAUUUAAAUAUUGAAUUUUAUUUUAAAGUAAAAAAGCUUUAAUUUUUUUAAGGGACGAGAAGACCCUAUAGAAUUUAAUAUAUUAAUUAAUAUAUAAUAUAUUAAUUAAUAUAUUUGUUUGGGAGGAAUAUUAAAAUUUUAAACUUUAAUUUUUAAGUUACAUAUAUAAAUGAAUUAAAUAGAAUUUAUAAUUUAAAUAAAAGAUUAAAUUACCUUAGGGAUAACAGCGUAAUAUUUUUUUAUAGUUCUUAUUGAAAAAAAUGUUU
rnacentral:rRNA from 1 species